AUCCUUUCUGGGAAGUGUAGUCUUAGGUGCCUGGAGAAGUCGCCGGGUUUCUGCUUGCUGGUCGCGAAAUUUUAUAGCUAUAAUUAACUCAGGACGGAACAGCUAGCAGAAUCCUCAGCGUUCGGGCAAAGGGCAGAGAAUACAGCCAGAAGCAACAUGUAGAUCUAAUGACCUUCUCCAGGAGUUGAGGACUCACUACCUCGCUGAAUUCUCAGAGUCAAAAUGCGUCUUUACCUGCUGAUCCCGGAACAGUCCCCUGCUGUUGCAUUGAAUGAAUCUCAUCUCACUUCCUCGAGUCAGCCCUGCCUGUAUUUAAUGAUCACAAACCUUAUCCUUACGUUGCCAGCAGUAACAUUCUGCAUCCCUCACCCACUCCACUGUGUCCUUUUCCUCCCACUGAUCUUCACUCUGCCUUUUCUAGGGGAACUCUGAACAGUAUUUCUGAGAAGGGGUAGGUAAUGUGUGCUUUGCUUC
rnacentral:lncRNA from 1 species